UGGGGAAUAUUGGACAAUGGGCGAAAGCCUGAUCCAGCGACGCCGCGUGGGUGAAGAAGGCCUGCGGGUUGUAAAGCCCUUUCGGUGGGGAAGAAAAGCCUCGAGUUAACACCUCGGGGUCUUGACGUAACCCAUAGAAGAAGCACCGGCUAACUCUGUGCCAGCAGCCGCGGUAAUACAGAGGGUGCGAGCGUUAAUCGGAAUUACUGGGCGUAAAGCGCGCGUAGGCGGCUUUGCAAGUCGGGUGUGAAAUCCCCAGGCUUAACCUGGGAACUGCAUUCGAGACUGCAUUGCUAGAGUAUGGGAGAGGGAAGUGGAAUUUCCGGUGUAGCGGUGAAAUGCGUAGAUAUCGGAAGGAACAUCAGUGGCGAAAGCGACUUCCUGGACCAAUACUGACGCUGAGGUGCGAAAGCGUGGGGAGCAA
rnacentral:rRNA from 1 species